CUGGACGCCAUAGCUAAUGAGACCGAGCGCAAGGCCCUGGAAGGCAUCAUCAGCAACUUUGGCCAGACGCCCUGUCAGCUUCUCAAGGAGCCCCAUCCUCCCCGUAUGUCAGCAGAGAAUGCAUUCAGGCGGAAUGCCCGUCUGGACAUUCUGCCCCCCAACCUUUUUGAUCAGCUCAGUAAACUCCGGUCUUUUAAGGAGGUGGUGAGCGAUGGUCUGCCGUUAGUGCAAGCCGUGGUGCCCAGAAAUCAAACCCGCUCCUUCAUCAUCCUUGGUUCUGACAU